rnacentral:misc_RNA from 1 species
UUUCAUAUUAUUAUUAUGUGUGAUGACAUUGUUCGGGCUUGUUAACUCCUAAGUGGCGAUCAUAAUGUGCAAGUCCAUUACGUAUCAGCUGUCAUUUAAGCUUUUACGUGAAGUAUUGGAUGUUUCUUCACUUUUCUUUUUUUAUUUAUUUAUUUUUUGGUGGCACUAAUAAGUUUUGUCUGACAAAUCAUGAAUCUGGUGAAAAAUCUAGUUUCACUGUGUUAAAUCAGCACCUUGGCUUUGUUGGGUUCAAAGUGAUUUGAUUGUGGAGCAAUGUUGCUUUUAGAUUUUCACUUAUUGUCUUAUCACUUAACCAUCGUGCUUGAUUUUGAGACCAAUUUUAUGCAACAAAGGGAAAUGCUAUUGGCUUAGCUAGUCUUUGAUCAUCAACUGUAGCUGUCUUAUUUCAAUGAUGAUGAAAAGGCUUUUUGGUUAAAUUUCCCAUAUCUUGUACCUUAAUUAAUGGGCAUAUUUUAGUCUUUUCAUGGUUGACUUGCAGUUGUGUAUUGCAUCUCUUUCAUGUUGUGGCAACUUUUCUGUUUUUGCAUUAUUCUCUAUAUUUAAGUUACUGCAUCAAGUGGAGCAUCUGUUGUUUUCUCCAUUUUCUAAAAGAGGGAUAAUGUUAUUGAUCAUUUGUGCUUCCUGAGCAGGCUUUACAUGAA